GGGCCUAUAGCUCAGCUGGUUAGAGCGCACGCCUGAUACGCGUGAGGUCGAUGGUUCGAGUCCAUUUAGGCCCA
rnacentral:tRNA from 1 species